rnacentral:ncRNA from 1 species
AUAAAAACACAGUUAUGGCGAAUCCCCCUGAGCGGCGGGGCGACCAGUCAAAUAUAUGUUCCUCGCGAACCAUGUCGACUGGUAUGUGGUUCACCGGGAGGCACCCGGCACCGUAACAACCGA